ACGACGCUGGCGGCGUGCUUAACACAUGCAAGUCGAACGGAAAGGCCUCUUUCGGGGGGUACUCGAGUGGCGAACGGGUGAGUAACACGUGAGUAACCUGCCCUUGACUUUGGGAUAACUUCAGGAAACUGGGGCUAAUACCGGAUAGGAGCUCCUGCUGCAUGGUGGGGGUUGGAAAGUUUCGGCGGUUGGGGAUGGACUCGCGGCUUAUCAGCUUGUUGGUGGGGUAGUGGCUUACCAAGGCUUUGACGGGUAGCCGGCCUGAGAGGGUGACCGGCCACAUUGGGACUGAGAUACGGCCCAGACUCCUACGGGAGGCAGCAGUGGGGAAUAUUGCACAAUGGGUGGAAGCCUGAUGCAGCAACGCCGUGUGCGGGAUGACGGCCUUCGGGUGUAAACCGCUUUCGCUCAUGACGAAGCUUUGUGUGACGGUAGUGGGUAAAGAAGCACCGGCUAACUACGUG
rnacentral:rRNA from 1 species